rnacentral:lncRNA from 1 species
UGCUCUAUGCCAGGGGCGAUACGGCCACACCUAAACUUCAAAUGCUCUAUGCCAGGGGCGAUACGGCCACACCUGGACUACUCAUCUCAUAUCAUAUCGUACAUGCCAUAUCAUAUCAUUCCAUAUCAUGUCAUAACAUACUGAGGGCUAGAGGAUCAUCCAGUAUCCAUCCACAUCAUCAUCAUCGUAUUAUGCAAUGCAUCAUAUUCGUGAAUUCUAAUGCAAACAACCUAUUGCAUAACAUGGUAUUCAUGAUGCAUGAACAUGCUUGAACAUGCUGAAAACAUUUGAUUCAAAACAUAAGGGUUAGUUCCACUCACCUCUGGCUAGCUCUGGACUAACUCUGAAGCAGCUAACACUGCUAAACACCUCGGUUCCUCGGGUCCGAUCCUACACAGGUGGACUCCAGUGAGGUGCCAAACAUACUCUAAACAACUCAUAAACAACUACCCAAAAACCCCCUAAAGCAUCACUUAAACAUGCAUAGAAAACACUCAAGAAAAGGCUGGACAGGGCACUUUCGGCGGCACCUUCGGCGGCCGAAAGUCCCAGACAGAGACGAAAGUCAGGCAGGUUCGG